UUUCUGGGUCAGCAGAGAGACCAGCAGUGCCCCAGCCAUAGUCACCAGGGAACUCACCGGUCAAGUAGGAUGGGGGCUCACCAGAGAAUGGACCCAAGUACUUAACACGGUCAGGACCGUACCACGGGCUUCCAGAGGAAACAGGCUUAGCGCCGGUUUUCCUCAUUGAGACACGGCCAUUGCCCAUGAGCUCAGGGGCAGAGGGGGAGAGCUUCACCGCCUUGCCAACGAAUGAAGGGGAGGAGAGGGCCAUAGUGGAGGAUGCCAUUUUCAAAGUAAGUGCGCAAGUUUAUUCUUCCGUAAGUUGUG
rnacentral:misc_RNA from 1 species